rnacentral:rRNA from 1 species
UACGGGGGGGGGUAAGCGUUGUUCGGAAUUACUGGGCGUAAAGGGCUCGUAGGCGGCCAACUAAGUCAGACGUGAAAUCCCUCAGCUUAACUGGGGAACUGCGUCUGAUACUGGAUGGCUUGGAUUCGGGAGAGGAAUGCGGAAUUCCGGGUGUAGCGGUGAAAUGCGUAGAUAUCUGGAGGAACACCGGUGGCGAAGGCGGCAUUCUGGACCGACAUUGACGCUGAGGAGCGAAAGCCAGGGGAGCAAAGCGGG